rnacentral:rRNA from 1 species
UACGUAGGGCGCAAGCGUUGUCCGGAAUUAUUGGGCGUAAAGAGCUCGUAGGCGGUUUGUCGCGUCUGCUGUGAAAACCCGGAGCUCAACUCCGGGCCUGCAGUCGAUACGGGCGGACUAGGGUUCGGCAGGGGAGACUGGAAUUCCUGGUGUAGCGGUGAAAUGCGCAGAUAUCAGGAGGAACACCGGUGGCGAAGGCGGGUCUCUGGGCCGAUACUGACGCUGAGGAGCGAAAGCGUGGGGAGCGAACAGG